AGGUUUCCGUAGGUGAACCUGCGGAAGGAUCAUUAUUGAAUAAACCUGAUGAGUUGCUGCUGGCUUCUCCAAAGGAGCAUGUGCACGCUUGUCAUCUUUAUAUCUCCACCUGUGCACCUUUUGUAGACCUGGAUAUCUUUCUGAGUGAAUAGCACUCGGGUUUGAAGGAUUGACUUUUCUGUCUCUCCCUUGCAUUUCCAGGCCUAUGUUUCUUCAAAUACCCCCAAUGUAUGUUCAUAGAAUGUAAUACAAAUGGGCCUUUUGUGCCCAUAAAACCUAUACAACUUUCAGCAACGGAUCUCUUGGCUCUCGCAUCGAUGAAGAACGCAGCGAAAUGCGAUAAGUAAUGUGAAUUGCAGAAUUCAGUGAAUCAUCGAAUCUUUGAACGCACCUUGCGCUCCUUGGUAUUCCGAGGAGCAUGCCUGUUUGAGUGUCAUUAAUAUAUCAACCUCUUCUUCAGCUUUGCUUGUUGAGUGUUUGGAUGUGGGGGGUUAUUGCUGGUCUCUUUUUCUGAGAUCGGCUCCCCUGAAAUGCAUUAGCGGAACAAUUUGUGGAGCGCUUCAUUGGUGUGAUAACUAUCUACGCUAUUGACGUUAAGCAAGUUCAGCUUCUAACAGUCCAUUGACUUGGACAAAUGUAUCAUUAAUGUGACCUCAAAUCAGGUAGGACUACCCGCUGAACUUAAG
rnacentral:rRNA from 1 species